rnacentral:rRNA from 1 species
UACGUAGGGGGCAAGCGUUGUCCGGAUUUAUUGGGCGUAAAGAGCGUGUAGGCGGCCAAGUAAGUCUGCUGUGAAAACUCGAGGCUUAACCUCGAGCUGUCGGCGGAAACUAUUUGGCUAGAGUCCGGAAGAGGAGAAUGGAAUUCCCGGUGUAGCGGUGAAAUGCGUAGAUAUCGGUAGGAACACCAGUGGCGAAGGCGGUCUCCUGGGGCAUUCUUGACGCUGAGGCGCGAAAGCUGGGGGAGCGAACGGG